rnacentral:lncRNA from 1 species
AUUUCUAAAUCAGCCAGGAUUGUUAAACAGAGAUACCCUGUCUUGAUGCACCAAAAUAAAUAAAACAAACAAACUUCAAUUUAUACUUGUUACAUCUUCUUGAUAAUUUUAUUAAUAUGCAGUAGCCCUGUUUGUCUCUUCUGUCUGUUUGUGGUUUUGAGUCUUCUUUAUUUGAUAUAAGAGUUGAUAAAUCGCCAGGCGUGGUGGCACACGCCUUUAAUCCCAGAACUUGGGAGGCAAAGGCAGGCAGAUUUCUGAGUUCGAGGCCAGCCUGGUCUACAAAGUAAGUUCCAGGAUAGCCAGGGCUAUAUUAUAAACUAGUCAGUUUACUUGUGCCCUUUAAUUGACUAAUGGAGACUUUUUCUACUUAAGGUUAUUUUGAGAGGGACUUUUAAUGAAAUUUUUUAAGGAAAUCAUAUUUUUAAAUAAUUUUUUUCAUUAAUGUUCUGGCUGGCUGAAUUAUUGAUUGUAGCAGUUUUUGCUACUUUGCACGUUCUUUUUUUUUCCUCCUAUCCUUUAUCCCCCUGCUUCACCCCCAUCACUAGAUAGGAGAGAAAAAAGGAUGGGGGUAGGUGAGAGAAAGAUAUUCUUGAAUCUAAUUCCUUUCCUUUGUUUCUUCUUUGAGCAUGACUAGUAACAAAUUGCAACCAAUCCCCCUGAAUGGAUCAACAACCAUUGACCACUGACUCCAUCUACUGGGCCCCUAGCAUUUAUAUACCCUCUGAAGGUCCCAGAAGUCCAAAUGUCAUACAAUCACAGAAAUUAUUUGCAACACACAGAUGUGUACAUACACAUAAAUGAAUGAAUGAUUGAAUGAAUGAUCACUGUCUUUGAGAAAAUUAUCAUCCUCACUUAUAGUGAGGAGUAGGCAUAAUACCCAUGAUUGUGAACUAGUAAGGUGCAAGAACUGGUGAUGUAACUCACUGCGCCAGCAUACAUAAGGAUAGGUUUGAUCACCAACACUUCAGAAGGGGAAAGAGGGCAAUGAGCAAUCGAUAAAAUGAAGAAUAAGCACGCUACAGUUAACUUGUCGCUCUAAUGGAGUUUAAUUUUAUUUUUGAGACAGGAUCUCAGUUUGUAGCUCUGGUUGGCCUGGAACUCAAACUUCCUGUCAUCUUCCUGUCACGGGUUGCCAAGGACUAAGAUUGUGCUAACCACACUCCACUCUUCAAAGAAAUUUUAAAGUAAAUAUUUAUAGUAACUUUGGGGUAAAGUUUUAGAACUGCUUGUAAGAAAAAUUUGAUGAUGAGAGAGAGUAUUCCAGUCACUGAAAGGAACAAAUCUCAGGACUGGGAUUAGGACAUUAUUUAAAUGUCCUGACCGUAAAGCAGUUUGUAAUCCCAGAAAGAAAAUAAGAUAGGUAUAUAGAUAAUGCUACUGACUGCAUUAUCAGAAGUGUUGCUGAGGGCUGGAGAGAUGGCUCAGGGGUUAAGAGAACUGACUGCUCUUCCAAAGGUCCUGAGUUCAAUUCCCAGCAACCUCAUAGUAGCUCACAACCAUCUGUAAUGGGGUCUGGUGUGUCUGAAGAGACCAAUGGUGUACUCAUACACAUUAAAUCAAUCAAUCAAUCAAUAAAUAAAUCUUUUUUUUCUUAUUUUUUUAAGUGUUGCUGAAAAAAUUUUUUUUAUUAAUUUUAUUUUAUUCAUUUAAUUUUUUUAGAUUUAUUUAUUAUAUGUAAGUACACUGUAGCUGUCUUCAGACACUCCAGAAGAGGGAGUCAGAUCUCGUUACAGAUGUUUGUGAGCCACCAUGUGGUUGCUGGGAUUUGAACUCCGGACCUUCGGAAGAGCAGUCAAGUGCUCUUACCCACUGAGCCAUCUCACCAGCCCCGAAAAAAAGAUUAAAAAAAAAUUUUUUGAGACAGGGUUUUUCUGUCCUGGCUGUCCUGUAAUUCACUCUGUAGACCAGGCUGGCCUCAAAGUCACAGAGGUCCCCCUACCUCUGCCUUCUGAGUCCUGGGAUUAGAGACAUGCACCACCACUACCCAGUGAAAAAUUUUAACACAAAGAAAUGAGACCUAGAGAUUGCAAAUGACUUGUCAAGGACACUGGCUUAGUCGGGGUUUCAUUGCUGUGAAGAGAAGCCAUGACCAAGGCAACUCUUAUAAAGGCAAACAUUUAACUGGGGCUGCCUUACAGUUUCAGAGGUUCAGUCAGUUAUCAUGGCAGGAAGCACAGCAGCAUGCAGGCAGACAUGGUGCUGGAGAAGGAGCUGAGAGUUGUACAUCUUGAUCCAAAAGCAGCCAGAAGGAAACUGACCUCUGCAGACAGUCAGGAGGAGGCUCUCUUUGGCACCUUGAGCACAGAACCUCAAAGCCCACCCCGAUAAAGGUUUACUUCCUCCCACAAGGCCACACCUUCUAACAGUGCCACUUCCCAUGGGCCAAGUACAUUCAAACCACCACAGACACUCAGCCUGUUAGUCACAAAAGCCUGUGAUCAUUUUAGUUUAAGAUAGAGCAUAAAAAGAACACUUCAUGGUUAUUAUAUGCCACACCUAAUAUAAAUCCUUCAAAAGUCUGUUAAUAAAUUCCUCAGCAAUCUGUAAAUACUGUAGACUUAGAAAAGUUAAACUGCUUCCCUGUAACAAAUAGCCAAUAUGAGAACCUAUUUCAGUCUUGUAUCCAAAAAUCAUAAUAUUUAUGCUACUUACUUAGAAUAUUGAAGUUGAGGUUAAGAAAUUAGUAUGAGGGCUGGAGAGAUGGCUCAGCCAUUAAAGGCUAGGCCCACAACC